AGGAAAGAAACUCUUAAAAUUUUGAUGAUGUGACAAUAUGGCAAGUGAUGUGGCAAGCUGAUGUGGGUUGUUGCUAGGCUAGAUCUAUUGCUUGUAAGCUCAUAAUAAAUCAGGUGAGCUUGUAAAGUGUGGAAGUGAAUCCAAAUACUCAAUCCGUCUGGUUAAAGCUCCAAGGGCAUCGGACUGAAGUUCCAACGACGAGAGGAGUAGAUCGAUUGACAGCAAGUCGCUACAUUCUUCUAGUUUUCGACCUUUUAUUUAUUUAUUUUUUAACUAUAAGCAGCAAGGAUUUUCGAAAGGAUAAGAGUAUUGGUUUUAAAGGCUUGAAAGUUUACAAAAGCUAAAGAAAUUUGGAUUAAUU
rnacentral:misc_RNA from 1 species